AACGAACGCUGGCGGCAUGCCUAACACAUGCAAGUCGAACGAGACCUUCGGGUCUAGUGGCGCACGGGUGCGUAACGCGUGGGAACCUGCCCUUAGGUUCGGAAUAACUCCCCGACAGGGGUGCUAAUACCGGAUAAUGUCUUCGGACCAAAGAUUUAUCGCCUUUGGAUGGGCCCGCGUUGGAUUAGCUAGUUGGUAGGGUAAAAGCCUACCAAGGCGACGAUCCAUAGCUGGUCUGAGAGAAUGAUCAGCCACACUGGGACUGAGACACGGCCCAGACUCCUACGGGAGGCAGCAGUGGGGAAUAUUGGAAAAAGGGCGAAAGCCUGAUCCAGCAAUGACGCGUGAGUGAUGAAGGCCUUAGGGUUGUAAAGCUCUUUUAACCGGGAUGAUAAUGACAGUACCGGGAGAAUAAGCUCCGGCUAACUCCGUG
rnacentral:rRNA from 1 species